UACGUAGGGGUCUAGCGUUGUCCGGAAUUAUUGGGCGUAAAGAGCUCGUAGGCGGUGUGUCGCGUCGGCCGUGAAAACCUGCAGCUUAACUGUGGGCUUGCGGUCGAUACGGGCAUCACUGGAGUUCGGCAGGGGAGACUGGAAUUCUGGUGUAGCGGUGAAAUGCGCAGAUAUCAGGAGGAACACCGGUGGCGAAGGCGGGUCUCUGGGCCGAUGACUGACGCUGACGGAGCGAAAGCGUGGGGAGCGAACAGG
rnacentral:rRNA from 1 species